AAAGUAAUAUCUAUAAUAUGGAAACAUGGAACAUCAGAGAUGUAUUCACAUAAAACCUCAAAAUUAAGAUAAGAGCAAAAGCUCUAUGCUAAAUGAUUAGAAGAUAAAGAAUUGAGGCAUGACAGCAGUGCACUGUGACUGAGUGUAUGAGCUGCAUUAUGGGUGGAGCUGUGUAUCUCAGCAGAGAGCUACACUGAUCCCAUUCAGCUCUGACUGCUCUCAGUCACUUCACAUCUCUAUCAACAUGCUGCUCUCUAUCCUUUCUCUCCUAGCACUGCUUUUAGGAGACACAUCAGCACAGACAGUUGUACCACUGGAGGGAGAAAUUCAUGUUUCAGAGGGCGAUAAUGUUACUCUCUCCUGCAACUACAGUAACCAGUAUGGUAGUGAUGUUCUUCAGUGGUAUCGUCAGUUUCCCAGAUCCGGACCAGAGUUUCUCCUGUCUAUUAACCUAUAUGCGUCUAAGAGUGAUCCUCCUCCCCGAAUGUCUGUUCAACUUGAUCAAGACAACAAGCGUGUGGAUCUGAUAAUCUCCACUGCUGCUGUAUCAGACUCUACACUCUACUACUGUGCCCUGCAGCCCACAGUGACAGGAAACCCAGCUACACUGUACAAAAAGCCCUUAAAUAGAACCUCGAACAUUAGGUACUGUACAAAGCCUGUGAAUGAAUAAGGUUAUUUUUCUCUGAAUGUAUCUACAGUAUGAAGACUUGAAACUUUCAUUUAUACUAUAUGCCAAACUGAAGAGAUCUUAUAUUCAAACUGGCAUUCUUACAUUUCUCUGGAGUUUCGAUGAUACAGAUUAACAUAUUUAAUUCUCUGCAUUUUUAGGACCACAAUUCUGAACUAAAACAACAAUACUGAGUCACAUAAGUCAGUUUAAAAUCUAUAUUGUCUCUAUAUGUUGUGUAUAGGUCUCUAUAUGUUGUGUAUAUUUUCUCU